CCAUUUGUUGUGCAGGUGACUGAGAGACUUGAGGCAACAGGUGUAGGAGGGGAAACAAAAAGAAUCAUCUCAAAGGAGUAUGGUGUUGUUACAGACAUCUGUAUAACUGUUGUAGGAGCAAUGGUUAAAGAGAGCUCUGAGGAAGAUGAAAAAAAAGCAGAAAAACUCAAAGAAGAGUUCACAGACUCUGAAGUGGGGAUUUCAAAGAAUAUGGAAGAUACAAAAA